AGCCNUGUAGUGAUUCCCCAUCAAAUUGCAAAUUUGAAAAAGUUCCUUUUUGGUUCCGGGGCUU
rnacentral:tRNA from 1 species